AAAGCGCGAAAUGUAAUGUGAAUUGCAGAAUUCAGUGAAUCAUCGAAUCUUUGAACGCACCUUGCGCUCUCGUGUUAUUCCUGGGAGCAUGUUCGUUGGAGUGUCGCGUACCUCUCAACCCCGUCCCUUGCAAAAGGGAUCGUCUCAGGGUUUGGAUCGUGGCGCCUUUGCCCGGAAGCGCUCUGCUUUCUUGGGCUGCGCUGAAUUGCAACAAGCUGUACCUUUGUACUGGCGGUUUGACCCGUUGUCAUAAGCUCACACUUUCAAUGGGGACGUCAGUCGGGAUGGGCUUACCACAAAUCAAUCUAUACACUUUGACCUCCAAUCGAGCAGGACUACCCCCUGAACUUAA
rnacentral:misc_RNA from 1 species